rnacentral:rRNA from 1 species
AGGUCAAGCUAAUAAGGGCUAACGGUGGAUACCUAGGCACACGGAAGCGAAGAAGGACGUAGUUACCGACGAAACGCUUCGGGGAGCGGGAAGCAAGCAUUGAUCCGAAGAUAUCCGAAUGGGGCAACCCUAAACACGACCACCUGAAUACAUAGGGUGGAGCGAGCCAACCUGGUGAACUGAAACAUCUUAGUAGCCAGAGGAAAAGAAAGCAACAGCGAUUCCCCCAGUAGCGGCGAGCGAAAAGGGAACAGCCUAAACCAAGUUCUUCGGAACUUGGGGUCGUGGGACAGUAACAAAAGACUGGGAAAUUUAGACGAAGCGGCUGAAAACCGCACCAGAGAAGGUGAAAGUCCUGUAGUCGAAAAAGGAACCAGCUUAACUGCAUCCCGAGUAGCAUGGGGCACGUGAAAUCCCGUGUGAAUCUGCCUCGACCACGAGGUAAGGCUAAAUAUUCCCGUGUGACCGAUAGAGAAACAGUACCGCGAGGGAAAGGUGAAAAGAACCCCGGAAGGGGAGUGAAAUAGAACAUGAAACCGUUAGCCUACAAGCAAUGGGAGGACGAUUGAACGUCUGACCGUGUGCCUGUUGAAGAAUGAGCCGGCGACUUACAGGUUAUGGCAGGUGAAGGGGGAAGACCCCACAGCCCCAGCGAAAGCGAGUCUGAACAGGGCGAAAAGUCAUAAUUUGUAGACCCGAACCCGGGUGAUCUAACCAUGGCCAGGAUGAAGCUUGGGUAAAACCAAGUGGAGGUCCGAACCGACUAAUGUUGAAAAAUUAGCGGAUGAGCUGUGGUUAGGGGUGAAAUGCCAAUCGAACUCGGAGCUAGCUGGUUCUCCCCGAAAUGUGUUGAGGCGCAGCGGUAGUGGAAGUUUAGUCGGGGUAAAGCACUGUUUCGCCGCGGGCUGGGAGACCGGUACCAAGGCGAGGCAAACUCUGAAUACGGCUAAAAAAACUACCAGUGAGACGGUGGGGGAUAAGCUUCAUCGUCAAGAGGGAAACAGCCCAGACCACCAGCUAAGGUCCCCAAAUGAUAACUAAGUGAGAAAGGAGGUGGGAGUGCAUUGACAACCAGGAGGUUUGCCUAGAAGCAGCAAUCCUUAAAAGAGUGCGUAAUAGCUCACUGGUCAAGCGCUCCUGCGCCGAAAAUGAACGGGGCUAAGUUAUCUACCGAAGCUGUGGACUACAUUGUAGUGGUAGGGGAGCGUUCUAUAGGGGGUGAAGCAGUAGCGGCAAGCAGCUGUGGACUCUAUAGAAGUGAGAAUGUCGGCUUAAGUAGCGAAAAUGUGGGUGAGAAUCCCACACCCCGAAACCCCAAGGUUUCCUCCGCAAGGCUCGUCCGCGGAGGGUCAGUCAGGACCUAAGGCGAGGCUGAAAAGCGUAGUCGAUGGACAACGGGUUAACAUUCCCGUACCGAUUAAUGAUUGUGCCGGAGAACGGAGAAGGUCAACGUCAGCUGGAUGUUGGUUACCAGUGCAAGCAGUCGAGGCGAUGAGAGGUGGUGAAAACACCAGGAGCUAAGACGCGAGUCCCACCUCCCACGGGAGGGAAGUGGCGCUGAUCAAGCUUCCUAGAAAAGCCCGAACCACGUUAAUCAUUAAUUGCCUGUACCCGAAACCGACACAGGUGGGGAAGUAGAGAAUACUAAGGGGCGCGAGAUAACUCUCUCUAAGGAACUCGGCAAAAUGACCCCGUAACUUCGGGAGAAGGGGUACCCUCGCAAGAGGGUCGCAGUGAAUAGGCCCAGGCGACUGUUUACCAAAAACACAGGUCUCCGCCAAGUCGUAAGACGCAGUAUGGAGGCUGACGCCUGCCCAGUGCCGGAAGGUUAAGGAAGUUGGUCAGGAGUAAUCUGAAGCUGACGACCGAAGCCCCGGUGAACGGCGGCCGUAACUAUAACGGUCCUAAGGUAGCGAAAUUCCUUGUCGGGUAAGUUCCGACCCGCACGAAAGGCGUAACGAUCUGGGCACUGUCUCGGAGAGAGACUCGGCGAAAUAGGAUUGUCUGUGAAGAUACGGACUACCUGCACCUGGACAGAAAGACCCUAUGAAGCUUUACUGUAGCCUGGAAUUGGCUUCGGGCUUCGCUUGCGCAGGAUAGGUGGGAAGCUUUGAAACUCUCCUCGUGGGGAGAGUGGAGCUAACGGUGAGAUACCACUCUGGCGAGGCUAGAAUUCUAACCCUGACCCCUAAUCGGGGCGGGAGACAGUUUCAGGUGGGCAGUUUGACUGGGGCGGUCGCCUCCUAAAAGGUAACGGAGGCGCGCAAAGGUUCCCUCGGUCCCGUUGGAAAUGGGACGAUAGAGUGCAAAAGCAGAAGGGAGCUUGACUGUGAGACCCACAAGUCGAACAGGGACGAAAGUCGGCUUUAGUGAUCCGACGGCACCGCGUGGAAGGGCCGUCGCUCAACGGAUAAAAGUUACUCUAGGGAUAACAGGCUGAUCUCCCCCAAGAGUUCACAUCGACGGGGAGGUUUGGCACCUCGAUGUCGGCUCAUCGCAACCUGGGGCUGAAGUCGGUCCCAAGGGUUGGGCUGUUCGCCCAUUAAAGCGGUACGUGAGCUGGGUUCAGAACGUCGUGAGACAGUUCGGUCCAUAUCCGGUGUAGGCGUAAGAGCAUUGCGAGGAGCCUUCCUUAGUACGAGAGGACCGGGAAGGACGCACCGCUGGUGUACCUGUUAUCGUGCCAACGGUAAACGCAGGGUAGCCAUGUGCGGAGCGGAUAACCGCUGAAAGCAUCUAAGUGGGAAGCCCACCUCCAGAUGAUUGCUCUCAUGGCAUUAAGCCAGUAAGGUCUCGGGUAGACUACCCGUUGAUAGGCUCUAGAUGGAAGCUCGGUAACGAGUGCAGUCGAGGAGUACUAACCGACCGAGGGCUUGACCUC